rfam:Picea glauca, whole genome shotgun sequence.
UAAAAAGCCCUAUUCAGGGCCACAGAAAAGUCUGUUAUCAAAUUUAU